rnacentral:rRNA from 1 species
UUGUAUCUUAGGCAAAUCCGGGGUACUCUAUGCUGAGAUCUGAUAGCAAGCUGUACUUGUACAGCGAAGUGGUUGAUGCCAUGCUUCCAGGAAAAGUCUCUAAGCUUCAGCUACACAGGAAUCGUACCCGAAACCGACACAGGUGGUCAGGUCGAGUAGACCAAGGCGCUUGAGAGAACUCUGCUGAAGGAACUAGGCAAAAUGGUACCGUAACUUCGGGAGAAGGUACGCUGUUGUUGGUGAUGGAACUCGCUUCCUGAGCUGACGACAGCCGCAGAAACCAGGCCGCUGCAACUGUUUAUUAAAAACAUAGCACUCUGCAAACACGAAAGUGGACGUAUAGGGUGUGAUGCCUGCCCGGUGCUGGAAGGUUAAUUGAUGGGGUUAGCGUAAGCGAAGCUCUUGAUCGAAGCCCCAGUAAACGGCGGCCGUAACAAUAACGGUCCUAAGGUAGCGAAAUUCCUUGUCGGGUAAGUUCCGACCUGCACGAAUGGCAUAAUGAUGGCGGCGCUGUCUCCAGCAGAGGCUCAGUGAAAUCGAAAUCGCUGUGAAGAUGCAGUGUACCCGCGGCUAGACGGAAAGACCCCGUGAACCUUUACUGCAGCUUGACACUGAACUUUGACCUUACUUGUGUAGGAUAGGUGGGAGGCUUUGAAGCUGGAACGCUAGUUCCAGUGGAGCCGUCCUUGAAAUACCACCCUGGUAAUGUUGAGGUUCUAACUCUGUCCCGUGAUCCGGGACGAGGACCGUGUCUGGUGGGUAGUUUGACCGGGGCGGUCUCCUCCUAAAGAGUAACGGAGGAGUACGAAGGUGCGCUCAGCGUGGUCGGAAAUCACGCGUAGAGUAUAAAGGCAAAAGCGCGCUUAACUGCGAGACCCACAAGUCGAGCAGGUACGAAAGUAGGUCUUAGUGAUCCGGUGGUUCUGUAUGGAAGGGCCAUCGCUCAACGGAUAAAAGGUACUCUGGGGAUAACAGGCUGAUACCGCCCAAGAGUUCAUAUCGACGGCGGUGUUUGGCACCUCGAUGUCGGCUCAUCUCAUCCUGGGGCUGAAGCAGGUCCCAAGGGUAUGGCUGUUCGCCAUUUAAAGAGGUACGCGAGCUGGGUUUAGAACGUCGUGAGACAGUUCGGUCCCUAUCUACCGUGGGCGCUGGAAAUUUGAGAGGAUCUGCUCCUAGUACGAGAGGACCAGAGUGGACGAACCUCUGGUGUACCGGUUGUGACGCCAGUCGCAUCGCCGGGUAGCUAUGUUCGGAAGGGAUAACCGCUGAAAGCAUCUAAGCGGGAAGCCUACCUCAAGAUAAGAUUUCCCUAGGACUUUAUGUCCUCUAAAGAGCCGUUCGAGACUAGGACGUUGAUAGGUUGGAUGUGGAAGCAUAGUGAUAUGUGAAGCUGACCAAUACUAAUUGCUCGUGAGGCUUGAUU